AGCUGACGAGUGGCGAACGGGUGAGUAAUGCAUCGGAACGUGCCCGAUCGUGGGGGAUAACGCAGCGAAAACUGCGCUAAUACCGCACACGAUCUGAGGAUGAAAGCGGGGGACCGUAAGACCUCGCGCGAUCGGAGCGGCCGAUGUCAGAUUAGGUAGUUGGUGGGGUAAAGGCUCACCAAGCCAACGAUCUGUAGCUGGUCUGAGAGGACGACCAGCCACACUGGGACUGAGACACGGCCCAGACUCCUACGGGAGGCAGCAGUGGGGAAUUUUGGACAAUGGGCGAAAGCCUGAUCCAGCAAUGCCGCGUGCAGGAAGAAGGCCUUCGGGUUGUAAACUGCUUUUGUACGGAGCGAAAAGGCCCUCUCUAAUACAGAGGGCUCAUGACGGUACCGUAAGAAUAAGCACCGGCUAACUACGUGCCAGCAGCCGCGGUAAUACGUAGGGUGCAAGCGUUAAUCGGAAUUACUGGGCGUAAAGCGUGCGCAGGCGGUUUUGUAAGACAGGCGUGAAAUCCCCGGGCUCAACCUGGGAAUGGCGCUUGUGACUGCAAAGCUGGAGUGCGGCAGAGGGGGAUGGAAUUCCGCGUGUAGCAGUGAAAUGCGUAGAUAUGCGGAGGAACACCGAUGGCGAAGGCAAUCCCCUGGGCCUGCACUGACGCUCAUGCACGAAAGCGUGGGGAGCAAACAGGAUUAGAUACCCUGGUAGUCCACGCCCUAAACGAUGUCAACUGGUUGUUGGGUAUUUACUUACUCAGUAACG
rnacentral:rRNA from 1 species